AAUGAUAUGCCUGAAUAAAGGAUUAUUAUGAUAUAAUAAAUUAUGUAAAUAUUUAUUUACUAUCAUUA
rnacentral:tRNA from 1 species